GCCGCAGCCGGCGACAUCUGCGUCGUGGGCAGCGGCAUCUCGGGCGCCUCCGCGGCCUUCUUCCUCACCAACCACACCUCCUCACUCCAACCCGGGCCGCAGCUCCGCGUCUUCGAGCAUCGUGGCCGGUUCGGCGGCCGCCUGGCCACCGUCAUCUCGGGUGAAGAAUUCCAGGCCGGCGGCUCCAUCGUCCACCCGCGCAACCUCCACGUGCGCCGCUUCACCGACCUCCUCGGCCUCGCCACCAAUACCGGCCGGGACGACGACGAGGACUGGGUCGGGAUUUGGGACGGCGCCCGCUUUGUCUUCAAGACGCUCCGCCCGCCGCCGCCGGGGAGCUCCUGGCUGCGCCGCGUCCUCGCCAACUCGCUCCGGCCGCUUAAACGCUAUGCCUUCCCGCUGCUCAGGAUGGACAGCUUAGUCCAGGUCCACUCCCUUCUUCUUAUUUUCUACUGUUAUACUACAUCUUCAUUAGGACCUUCUGUUCUAUACCAAACACUGCAGCUUUACAAGUUCAGUUAA
rnacentral:rRNA from 1 species